GUCGCGAAACACGUGACUUGCUUGUGAUCAGUUUCACGGAAAAAUGGCGCCUGAAUGAAAAAACAAGUUCGCUUGGUGGCAAAUUUUGAACGCAGUUUUCGUACAGCACUAAAAGGAAAAGCAUGUACAAUCUGGUUGAAGAGACAUUUACAGAUAUUGAUACUCACCAUGUGAACUGCAGGGUUUGCCUAGGUUUGGUAAAUGAACUGCCUUUGGAUAAAGCAUUCAGAAAUCAUACAUUCGACUCUGCCGGGAGGAAACGGUUGAAUGGACGAAAGCGAGAGGCAACGAUUUCAACUGACAGAAAUGCUCUAUGUAAAGGGGAACUUGGAAUUCGUUGGGAAAAAGCUAGAUGCAACCAGGCCAAACUUCUACCAACUGUUAAAAUGGGCAUUGAAUAAAUAUUUUUCAUAGAAAUAAAUCUUUAUUUGUCAAAACCAGU